GCGGGGGCGCGCGCGUGGUUAGCGGGCAGCGAGGGUCGCCUGGGCGGUGCGCAGCACGGCGGGAACAUGGCGCGCGGAACCGGCGCGCGCGCCUAGCUGGCGGGACCGUUAGAUCGAGGCGGAUGCGGCCCGGACCCCGUGGAUAUGGAGCAGUCGCCGCCGCUGGCGCCGGAGCCCACCCAAGGGCCAACCACCGCAAGGAGCUGAAGGCGGCGGGAGCCCGAGUCGCCGCCGGCGUCGGUGCCGGCUUUUCUGGCUUUGCCCGCCCAGCUGCUCCAUGCCAGGAGGAGGAGGAGACACCUAGAGCCUGCGACACCAUGGCUCGCCUCGCUGCAGCCGAGCAUGGUGGUUCACACCUGUAAUCUCAGCACAUUGGGAGGCCGAGGCGGGUGGAUCAUGAGGUCAAGAGAUCGAGACAAUCCUGGCCAACAUGGUGAAACCCCAUCUCUACUAAAAAUACAAAAAAUUAGCCGGGUGUGGUGCUGCGUGCCUGUAGUCCCAGCUACUGGAGAGGCUGAGGCAGGAGAAUUGCUUGAACCCAGGAGGCAAAGGUUGCAGCAAGCUGAGAUCGCACCACUGCACUCCAGCCUGGUGAUAGACCGAGACUCCAUCUCAAAAAAACAAAAAAAAAAUUAAAUUACUUUGUAUACAUAAAGUUCUAAUUUUUUAAAAAAUUGUAAAAUAUCCUAUACGUUCAUUAGUAUUACUUAUUUGUUUUUAUCACUCCAUCAAUGUGAGGCAUAAAUAAAAUUUGUUAAGUUAAAACUUUCGGUGUACUUUCAUUCAUUUAUUUAUUUAUUUUGAGACAGUUUCGCUCUAUCAUCCAGGCUGGAGUAUAGUGGCAUGAUCUCGGCUCACUGCAACCUCCGCCUCCAAGGCUCAAGUGAUUCUCGUGCCUCAGCCUUCCAAGUAGCUGGGACUACAGGCAUGCACCACCAUGCCUGGCUAAUUUUUAAAAGUCCUAUAUCAUAUAAGAACAUUAGAGUUCUGGGAUUAUUUUUUGUUUGUUUAAGAGACAGGGUCUCACUGUAUUACGCAGGCUGGGGUGCAGUGAUGUGAUCAUAGCUCACUGUAGCCUGGAACUCCUGAGCAAAGCAAUUCUCCCUCCUCAGCCUCCCCAGUAGCUGGGACUACAGGUGCUUGCCACAAUGCCCAGCUAGUUUUUAAAUUUUCUGUAGAUAUAGGUCUCACUGUGUUGCCUAGUCUGGUUUCAAACUCCUGGCCUCAAGGGAUCCUCCCCACUUGGCUUCCCAAAGUGCUA
rnacentral:lncRNA from 1 species